UACCAACUUGAUGAAGCUUGUGGUCUGCCU
rnacentral:piRNA from 1 species